ACCCUGCAUCCAUUGUUUCUGGGG
rnacentral:siRNA from 1 species